UGGGGAAUCUUGCACAAUGGGGGAAACCCUGAUGCAGCGACGCCGCGUGAGCGAUGAAGGUUUUCGAAUCGUAAAGCUCUGUCCUAUGGGAAGAUAAUGACGGUACCAUAGGAGGAAGCCCCGGCUAACUACGUGCCAGCAGCCGCGGUAAUACGUAGGGGGCGAGCGUUGUCCGGAAUUACUGGGCGUAAAGGGUUCGCAGGCGGCAUGACAAGUCCGAUGUAAAAGGCGAAAGCUCAACUUUCGUAAGCAUCGGAAACUGUCAAGCUUGAGUGAAGGAUAGGCAAGUGGAAUUCCUAGUGUAGCGGUGGAAUGCGUAGAUAUUAGGAGGAAUACCGGUGGCGAAGGCGACUUGCUGGACUUCAACUGACGCUGAGGAACGAAAGCGUGGGUAGCAAACAGG
rnacentral:rRNA from 1 species